UACUGCAUUACAUUAGCGCCACCUGCUGUUUUGGAGCCUUUCAUGGAAAACCAGUUAUUGGAUCCAACCCAUUACCUGGACAAAGCAGAGUUUGCCCUCAGUUUCAAUGUGGAUGGACCGGAAACCCAGUGACAACACUUGGGUCUGCAGCUGCCAUUUUCCGGUGGGAAAGAGAAAAGGCCCUGUAUUUACCAGAAAAGGUAGCUCAUCCACCAUGGCAGAAGAGGAAGAUCCAGACUGUUGAUUGGGAAACAAGAACAAACAAUGCGGCAUGAGGAUUGGGUGUUGAUCCAACAGGAGUGCAUCCCUCAGUCCAUCCAGUGCGUGGACAUCCCGUGCCAGUGUGAUCUGGUUGUGGAGACUACGUCAGAACAAGCCUGUAGACAGACAGACAUGAUAUGCGGAACAUCAGGCUCGCCCCACGAGAAGCAGUGCAUGAUUAACGCCAACCUCAGCAAGGAGAUCUGCUGGAAGUGAUGUACUCUCUCACUCUGGGGGUAAGACAUCAUUUAAACAUCACAGAUAUAAAUUCCCACUGUGCCCAUGAUGAAAUGCAACUGUGAAUUGUGCUGUACUACUGAAUGAAACAGGAAAUGCACUCAGACCAGUCUUUGAUUGAACUUACGUUGACUACAUUACUUUAGUUGGCUGCUUUGAGCAAAACUUGUACGGAAUACAGAAAGUAUUCAGACCCCUUGACUUUUUCCACAUUUUUUUACGUUACAGCCAUAUUCUAAAAGGGAUUUUUUAUAAAUAAUCCCCCUCAAUCUACACACAAUAGCCCAUAAUGACAAAGCAAAAACAGGUUUGUAAACAUUUUAGAAAUAUCACAUUUACAUAAUUAUUAUUCAGUACUUUGCUGAAGCUGAAGUACUUUGCUGAAGCACCGCGUUUCUCGGCGGCUGCUGUGGAGAUUUUCGGGGCCGUGGAGAAGAACAUAGCGAUGUCAGGAAGAACAAAGGUUAUGUACGUAACCACGGUUAUGUGAGCUACCGGAUCACUCCAACCCUCUUUGUCGGUGAUCUACGGCACCUCGAAAAAGGACAUGAGGUGGAAGUAGUGCGGCGGCAGCUAUUUAAGGGGUUUCGCCGCAGCCUCAGCACUACCCGGUACAAAUCUGAAAUCCUUACUCAGAAUGUGUCCUGCUGUGCGGAGGGAUACCUUAUUGAAGGAUACCAUAUUGGAAUGAUCCAAUGGCUCACAUAACCGUGGUUACGUACAUAACCUUCGUUCUUCCUGACACCGCUAUGUUCUUCUCCAAGACCCCGAAUAUCUCCACAGCAGCCGGCGAGAAACGCUCGGUGACGAACAUAUUCAACAACUGUAGUUUGCACGUAUUGAUGAUGGUUAUGAAUGAUGCUACAUUUUUUAUGUCCAUUACAGGGCGUUCCAGGAAUGCCCCAUAGAAGCCGCCGGCAGAGAUUUUUCAAUUAACCUGUUCUUGGCAGCGAAACAUGUUUUGUAUCGAGUGAGAUGUGCCUCUUGCAUGUGUGUAGAUCUUUGUUUUGGUUGUACUGCGUUACGCGCUGUCAUCUACUUCUACACGUGGCCGUUGACGCUUCGCAUAGAAAUGACUAGUUCCUGAAAAAAUGCAGGGAAAUGUUAGAUGUGUGGCAGCUAAAAUGGCGAGGAACCUCCUCGCAGGGUACAAAACAUGGAUUUAAUAUCUUUCUGAGUUUUCUUGUUUUUGUAGAACCACCUGCAAAUGGAAUCGAGAACUAAGAAAUUAUCGGCAAGAACAGGUUAGUUAAAAAAUCUAUGGUGGUGGUUUGUGUGUGGCUUUCCUGUAACGGCCAGUAAUGGACACCAAAAACCUUGAGGUGAGGAGGAGGAUUAUUUAAGAUACUGUUUGAAAGUUUUCUGAUGUUUUUGGAAGAUGGGCAGGGACUCUGCUGUCCUGGCUUCAGGGAGAAGCUGGUUCUACCAUUGGUGUGCCAGAACAGAGAAGAACUUGGGCUGAGUGGGAGCUGCCCUCCCGUAGGGGUGGGAAGGCAAAGAGACCUGAGGUGUCAGAACGGAGUGCUCGGGUUGGGGUGUAGGGUUUGAGCAUAGCCUGAAGUUCCUCUUGUUGUUCCGUAGGUAAGCACCAUGGUCUUGUAGUGGAUGGGAGCUUCGAUUGGAAGCCCCAGUGGAGUGUGCGGAGGAGCGGGGUGACAUGAGAGAACUUGGGAAGGUUGAAAACCAGGCGGGCUGCAGUGUUCUAGAUAAGUUUGAUGGCACGAGUGGGGAGCCCAGCCAACAGCGAGUCGCAGUAGUCCAGACGGGAGAGGACGAGUUCCUGGAUUAGGACCUGCACCGCUUCCUGUGUGAGGUAGGGUCGUAUUCUACGGAUGUUGAAAAGCAUGAACCUGCAGGAGCGUGUCACUGCUUCAGUGUUUGCAGAGAACGGCAGGGUGUUGUCCAGGGUCACGCCAAGGUUCUUUACACUCUGGGAGGGGGACACUGUGGAGUUGUCAACUGUGAUGGAGAGGUCUUUGAGCAGGCAGGCCUUCCCCGGGAGGAAGAGCAGUUUUUUCUUGUUGAGCUUGAGGUGCUGGGCCAACAUCCAUGUUGAGAUAUCUGCCAGGCACGCAGAGAUGCGUGUCGCCACCUGGGUGUCAGAAGGGGGAAAGGAGAAACGUAGUUGAGUGUCAUCCGCAUAGCAAUGAUAGGAGAGACCAUGUGAGGAUAUGAUGGAACCGAGUGAUUUGGUGUAUAGUGACAAAAUUACAUACUCUGUUAUGCACAUCAUUUGUAUACGCCUUAAACCUGUACAUUUCCACUGUCUAUUUCUAUCAUGUGAGAAGAAGCCAGUGUUUUUCCUCUCUUGUUUCUGAGUAACUUAGUCACGUGGCCAAAGACAAAAGGGCCGUCUGAGUGACCCGUCUUUUGGUCCAUCCUGUUCUUUUCCUAUCUUUCAAGGGCACAGCUGUGUGGAGAUAUGAAGAGAACAGAGGCUAGCUUGAGCAGAAGCGACAAUUCUAUCAGCAGAAAGGAGUAACAAAACUGGCAUUAUCACUUGUUUGUACGCUAUGCUCCCACCAUGAUCUCACACCCCUGCUAAAAUGCCAUAUAGACAAAAGAGGUUGUAUUUUCCUAUAAAGGCUGAGAACCAACUGUUGUUUGUUGGGCUCUUGACUGUUGCACCUGCUCCAUUAUUGCAAAUCUUAUAAUAAAAUAAGUUGUUUUGAGGAA